rnacentral:rRNA from 1 species
CGCACGGGUGCGUAACACGUAUACAAUCUACCUAUAACAGGGGGAUAGCCUUUCGAAAGAGAGAUAAUACCCCGUAAUAAAUUGAGUGGCAUCACUUGAUUUUGAAAGUUCCGACGGUUAUAGAUGAGUAUGCGUCUGAUUAGCUAGUUGGUGGUGUAAUGGACCACCAAGGCGACGAUCAGUAGGGGAUCUGAGAGGACUACCCCCCACACUGGUACUGAGACACGGACCAGACUCCUACGGGAGGCAGCAGUAAGAAAUAUUGGACAAUGGUCGCAAGACUGAUCCAGCCAUGCCGCGUGCAGGAAGACGGCCCUAUGGGUUGUAAACUGCUUUUGUACCAGAGAAAACCUAUCUACGUGUAGAUAGCUGAUAGUAUGGUAAGAAUAAGCAUCGGCUAACUUCGUGCCAGCAGCCGCGGUAAGACGAAGGAUGCAAGCGUUAUCCGGAUUCAUUGGGUUUAAAGGGUGCGUAGGCGGGCUUGUAAGUCAGUGGUGAAAUCUCUCAGCUUAACUGAGAAACUGCCAUUGAUACUGCAGGCCUAGAGUAUAGAUGACGUUGGCGGAAUAUGACAUGUAGUGGUGAAAUACUUAGAUAUGUCAUAGAACACCGAUUGCGAAGGCAGCUAACGAAACUAUAACUGACGCUGAGGCACGAAAGUGCGGGGAUCAAACAGGAUUAGAUACCCUGGUAGUCCGCACCGUAAACGAUGAUUACUCGUUGUUGGCGAUAUGACAGUCAGCGACCAAGCGAAAGCGAUAAGUAAUCCACCUGGGGAGUACGCCGGCAACGGUGAAACUCAAAGGAAUUGACGGGGGCCCGCACAAGCGGAGGAGCAUGUGGUUUAAUUCGAUGAUACGCGAGGAACCUUACCUGGGCUUGAAAGUUAGUGACCGGUUCUGAAAGGAGCCUUUCCGCAAGGACACGAAACUAGGUGCUGCAUGGCUGUCGUCAGCUCGUGCCGUGAGGUGUUGGGUUAAGUCCCGCAACGAGCGCAACCCCUAUCGUUAGUUACCAGCGAGUCAAGUCGGGAACUCUAACGAAACUGCCCGUGCAAACGGUGAGGAAGGUGGGGAUGACGUCAAGUCAUCACGGCCCUUACGUCCAGGGCUACACACGUGCUACAAUGGUCGGUACAACGGGCAGCUACACCGCGAGGUGAUGCUAAUCUCUAAAAACCGAUCUCAGUUCGGAUUGAAGUCUGCAACU